CCUACGGGUUGCACCAGUGGGGAAUAUUGGACAAUGGGCGAAAGCCUGAUCCAGCAAUGCCGCGUGUGUGAAGAAGGUCUUCGGAUUGUAAAGCACUUUCGACGGGGACGGUGAUGACGGUACCCGUAGAAGAAGCCCCGGCUAACUCUGUGCCAGCAGCCGCGGUAAUACAGAGGAUGCAAGCGUUAUCCGGAAUGAUUGGGCGUAAAGCGUCUGUAGGUGGCUUUUUAAGUCCGCCGUCAAAUCCCAGGGCUCAACCCUGGACAGGCGGUGGAAACUACUAAGCUGUAGUACGGUAGGGGCAGAGGGAAUUUCCGGUGUAGCGGUGAAAUGCGUAGAUAUUAGGAGGAACACCAGUGGCGAAGGCGGCCUGCUGGACAUUAACUGACGCUGAGGAGCGAAAGCGUGGGGAGCAAACAGGAUUAGAUACCCUCGUAGUC
rnacentral:rRNA from 1 species